GGAACGUGCCCUUCUCUAAGGAAUAGCCACUGGAAACGGUGAGUAAUACCUUAUACGCCCCCCAAUCAAAUUCCAUUUGGUUGACGGAAAUUCCGUUGAAUGCCGGAUGGCAUUUGAUGGGGGGGAAAGAUUUAUCGGAGAAGGAUCGGCCCGCGUUAGAUUAGAUAGUUGGUGGGGUAAUGGCCUACCAAGUCUACGAUCUAUAGCUGGUUUUAGAGGAUGAUCAGCAACACUGGGACUGAGACACGGCCCAGACUCCUACGGGAGGCAGCAGUAGGGAAUCUUGGACAAUGGGCGCAAGCCUGAUCCAGCCAUGCCGCGUGAGUGAAGAAGGCCUUAGGGUCGUAAAGCUCUUUCGCCUGUGAUGAUAAUGACAGUAGCAGGUAAAGAAACCCCGGCUAAUUCCGUGCCAGCAGCCGCGGUAAUACGGAGGGGGUUAGCGUUGUUCGGAAUUACUGGGCGUAAAGCGCGCGUAGGCGGAUUGGAAAGUUAGAGGUGAAAUCCCGGGGCUCAACCCCGGAACGGCCUUUAAAACUCCCAGUCUAGAGUUCGAGAGAGGUGAGUGGAAUUCCAAGUGUAGAGGUGAAACUCGUAGAUAUUUGGAGGAACACCAGUGGCGAAGGCGGCUCACUGGCUCGAUACUGACGCUGAGGUGCGAAAGUGUGGGGAGCAAACAGGAUUAGAUACCCUGGUAG
rnacentral:rRNA from 1 species